rnacentral:rRNA from 1 species
ACGCUCGACACCUACGGGGGGCAGCAGUGGGGAAUAUUGCACAAUGGGGGAAACCCGUGAUGCAGCGACGCCGCGUGAGCGAAGAAGUAUUUCGGUAUGUAAAGCUCUAUCAGCAGGGAAGAAAGUGACGGUACCUGACUAAGAAGCACCGGCUAAAUACGUGCCAGCAGCCACGGUAAUCUGAGCGGGCUGGCAAGGC